rnacentral:ncRNA from 12 species
GGCGAUGGGCGGAGGCUCCGCGACGGGGUAUUUGUCGACGGUCGGGCUGAGAGGCUGGAAGGUCUGUUAGACCGGAAGGCGACCCCCAUCACCUGAUCCGGACAAUGCCGGCGAAGGGAGCCCACCUUGCAGGUUU